UGAAUCGGCCGGGAAUCAAACCUGGGCCGCGCGCGUGGCAGGCGAGCAUUCUACCACUGAACCACCAAUGG
rnacentral:tRNA from 1 species